GAGAUAUUAGUAAAAUUCAUUACAUAACUUUGUCAAAGUUAAAUUAUAGGUUAAUCUCUAUAUAUCUUA
rnacentral:tRNA from 2 species